rnacentral:rRNA from 1 species
CCUACGGGAGGCAGCAGUGGGGGAUAUUGCACAAUGGGGGAAACCCUGAUGCAGCGACGCCGCGUGAGUGAAGAAGUAUUUCGGUAUGUAAAGCUCUAUCAGCAGGGAAGAAAAUGACAGUAUCUGUCCAAGAAGCCACGGCUAACUACGUGCCAGCAGCCGCGGUAAUACGUAGGGGGCAAGCGUUAUCCGGAUCUACUGGGUGUAAAGGGAGCGUAGACGGUUAUGUAAGUCUGGAGUGAAAGCCCGGGGCGCAACCCCGGGACUGCUUUGGAAACUGUGUAACUGGAGUGCAGGAGGGGUAAGCGGAAUUCCUAGUGUAGCGGUGAAAUGCGUAGAUAUUAGGAGGAAUACCGGUGGCGAAGGCGGCUUACUGGACUGUAACUGACGUUGAGGUUCGAAAGCGUGGGGAGCAAACAGGAUUAGAUACCCGAGUAGUC